rnacentral:tRNA from 1 species
GGGGCUAUAGCUCAGUUGGAAGAGCGCCUGGUUCGCAAUCAGGAGGUCGGCGGUUCGAGCCCGCCUAGCUCCA